AGUGAACGCUGGCGGUAGGCCUAACACGUGCAAGUCGAACGGCAGCACAGUAAGAGCUUGCUCUUACGGGUGGCGAGUGGCGGACGGGUGAGGAAUACAUCGGAAUCUACUUUUUCGUGGGGGAUAACGUGGGGAAACUUACGCUAAUACCGCAUACGACCUACGGGUGAAAGCAGGGGAUCUUCGGACCUUGCGCGAUUGAAUGAGCCGAUGUCGGAUUAGCUAGUUGGCGGGGUAAAGGCCCACCAAGGCGACGAUCCGUAGCUGGUCUGAGAGGAUGAUCAGCCACACUGGAACUGAGACACGGUCCAGACUCCUACGGGAGGCAGCAGUGGGGAAUAUUGGACAAUGGGCGCAAGCCUGAUCCAGCCAUACCGCGUGGGUGAAGAAGGCCUUCGGGUUGCAAAGCCCUUUUGUUGGGAAAGAAAAGCAGCAGGUUAAUACCCCGCUGUUCUGACGGUACCCAAAGAAUAAGCACCGGCUAACUUCGUG
rnacentral:rRNA from 1 species